rnacentral:rRNA from 1 species
UACGUAGGGUGCAAGCGUUAUCCGGAAUCACUGGGCGUAAAGCGUGCGUAGACGGUUAUUUAAGUCGGGUGUGAAAGCCCCGGGCUCAACCUGGGAAUUGCAUUCGAGACUGAAUAGCUAGGGUACGGUAGAGGGAAGUGGAAUUUCCGGUGUAGCGGUGAAAUGCGUAGAUAUCGGAAGGAACAUCAGUGGCGAAAGCGACUUCCUGGACCAGUACCGACGUUCAGGCACGAAAGCGUGGGGAGCAAACAGG